UACGUAGGUGGCAAGCGUUGUCCGGAUUUACUGGGCGUAAAGAGCGCGCAGGCGGUCGUUCAAGUCGCGUGUGAAAGCCCCCGGCUCAACUGGGGAGGGUCACGCGAUACUGAUCGACUCGAAGGCAGGAGAGGGUAGUGGAAUUCCCGGUGUAGUGGUGAAAUGCGUAGAUAUCGGGAGGAACACCAGUGGCGAGGGCGACUACCUGGCCUGUUUCUUGACGCUGAGGCGCGAAAGCUAGGGGAGCAAACGGG
rnacentral:rRNA from 1 species